AUUGAACGCUGGCGGCAUGCCUAACACAUGCAAGUCGAGCGGAGCGGGGGACGGGUGAGUAAGGCCUAGGUAUCUGACCGGUAGAGGGGGAUAAGGUCCGGAAAUGGGCGCUAAUACCGAAUACUCUAAGAUGAGCAUAGGUCGGAGUAGCUAGUUGGUGGGGUAAAGGCCUACCAAGGCGACGAUCCGUAACUGGUCUGAGAGGAUGAUCAGCCACACUGGAACUGAGACACGGUCCAGACUCCUACGGGAGGCAGCAGUGGGGAAUAUUGGACAAUGGGCGAAAGCCUGAUCCAGCCAUGCCGCGUGUGUGAUGAAGGUCUUCGGAUUGUAAAGCACUUUUAGUUGGGAGGCGGUACCUACAGAAUAAGCACCGGCUAACUUCGUGCCAGCAGCCGCGGUAAUUC
rnacentral:rRNA from 1 species